GCUUAUGGCCACACCGCCUGGUUCACGGCUGAUCUCGUUUGAUCUCGGAAGCUAAGAUAGGUUAGGCCUGGUUAGUACUUGGAUGGGAGACCGCCUGGGAAUACCAGGUGCUGUAACUU
rnacentral:rRNA from 1 species